rnacentral:rRNA from 1 species
AACGAACGCUGGCGGCAUACCUAACACAUGCAAGUCGAACGAAGGCUUCGGCCUUAGUGGCGCACGGGUGCGUAACGCGUGGGGAUCUGCCCUUUGCGUCGGAAGAACAGGUAGAAAUGGCUGAUCAGACCGGAUGAUGUCGUAAGACCAAAGAUUUAUCGGCAAAGAAUGAACCAGCGUAGGAUUAGAUAGUUGGGGGGGUAAAGGCCUACCAAGGCGACGAUCCUUAGAUGGUCUGAGAGGAUGAUCAGCCACACUGGGACUGAGACACGGCCCAGACUCCUACGGGAGGCAGCAGUGGGGAAUAUUGGACAAUGGGCGGAAGCCUGAUCCAGCAAUGCCGCGUGAGUGAUGAAGGCCUUAGGGUUGUAAAGCUCUUUUACCAGGGAUGAUAAUGACAGUACCUGGAGAAUAAGCUCCGGCUAACUCCGUGCCAGCCGCCGCGGUAACAC